GACGAACGCUGGCGGCGUGCUUAACACAUGCAAGUCGAACGAAGUGGCGAACGGGUGAGUAACGCGUAAUCAACCUGCCCUUCAGAGGGGGACAACAGUUGGAAACGACUGCUAAUACCGCAUACUGAAGGAGGGGAUUGCGUAUGAUUGGCUCGUUGGAGGGGUAACGGCCCACCAAGGGGAUGAGCAGUAGCCGGUCUGCGAGGGUGAAUGGGCACAUCGGGACUGAGAAAAGGCCCAGGAUCCUACGGGAGGCAGCAGUGGGGAAUCUUCCGCAAUGGACGAAAGGCUGACGGAGCACAGCCGCGUGAGUGAUGGCGGCCGUCGGGUUGUAAAGCUCUGUUAGUCGGGACGCGGUACCGGAAGAGAAAGCAACGGCUAACUACGUGCCAGCAGCCGCGGUAAUAC
rnacentral:rRNA from 1 species